UACAGAGGGUGCAAGCGUUGUCCGGAAUCACUGGGCGUAAAGCGUGCGCAGGCGGUUCGUUGUGUCGGCGGGGAAAGCCCCGGGCUCAACCUGGGAAUGGCCGUUGAAACUGGCGAACUGGAGUGUGGCAGAGGGGGGUGGAAUUCCGCGUGUAGCAGUGAAAUGCGUAGAGAUGCGGAGGAACACCGAUGGCGAAGGCAGCCCCCUGGGCUGACACUGACGCUCAGGCACGAAAGCGUGGGGAGCAAACAGG
rnacentral:rRNA from 1 species